CCUACGGGUGGCAGCAGUGAGGAAUAUUUGUCAAUGGACGCAAGUCUGAGCCAGCCAUGCCGCGUGCAGGAAGACGGCUCUAUGAGUUGUAAACUGCUUUUGUACGAGGGUAAACGCAGAUACGCGUAUCUGUCUGAAAGUAUCGUACGAAUAAGGAUCGGCUAACUCAGUGCCAUCAGCCGCGGUAAUACGGAGGAUUCAAGCGCUAUCCGGGUUUAUUGGGUUUAAAGGGUGCGUAGGCAGUCGGAUAAGUUAGAGGUGAAAUCCCGAGGCUCAACUUCGGAAUUGCCUCUGAUACUGUUAGGCUAGAGAGUAGUUGCGGGAGGCGGAAUGUAUGGUGUAGCGGUGAAAUGCUUAGAGAUCAUACAGAACACCGAUUGCGAAGGCAGCUUACCAAGCUACUUCUGACGUUGAGGCACGAAAGCGUGGGGAGCAAACAGGAUUAGAUACCCCAGUAGUC
rnacentral:rRNA from 1 species